UACGGAGGGUGCAAGCGUUAUCCGGAUUUACUGGGUUUAAAGGGUGUGUAGGCGGACUUUUAAGUCCGUGGUGAAAUCUCCGGGCUCAACCCGGAAACUGCCAUGGAUACUAUUGGUCUUGAAUAUUGUUGAGGUGGGCGGAACGGGUCAUGUAGCGGUGAAAUGCAUAGAUAUGACCCGGAAUACCGAUGGCGAAGGCAGCCCCCUGGGCCAAUACUGA
rnacentral:rRNA from 1 species